rnacentral:rRNA from 1 species
GUUUGGAAUGGUUUUAGAUUAAAAUUCUAUUAGAGUAACGACUAGAGGAAAAGUCUGGUGCCAGCACCCGCGGUAAUUCCAGCUCUAGUAGCGUAUAUUAAUACUGUUGUAGUUAAAACGCUCGUAGUUGACCUAAGGACUAUAGGUUUUGAUUCGGUGUUAGCCCGUUCUUCUGCAGUUCCGUGUUAUAACGGGGUUGCAUGGAAUGAGGUUGAUAUCCGCGGCAUGUGUCCCCAUAGACUUUGUCCGUGGGUGUUCAUGUGUGGGUUUUUACCUGUAGUCCGAUCCUUGCCAAUGGUUCCCAUUGGUAAAGGCCUUAUGGUACAACUGUAAACUAAUCAGAGUGCUCAAAGCAGGCAUUGUUAAUGGGGAUUUAUCCUCAGUUUUGCUUGAAUGAUUUAGCAUGGGAUUGUCUUGGAGCCGUGAAUAGUGCCCUUUAGCAAUAGAGGAACGCUGUUCACUGGCGCUUGUAAUGUGAAGCAGGGAGAGGGCUCAAGUACUAUGGUGCUAGAGGUGAAAUUUAGAUACCAGCAUAUGACUUUCUGAUGCGAAAGCUGUUAUUGUCCAAUACACUUCUUUCGAUCAGGGACGAAAGUUAGGGGAUCGAAGAUGAUUAGAUACCGUCGUAGUCCUAACUAUAAACGAUACCAACAAGAGAUUGGUAGUGAAACCAUUUAAGAUCCUCUCAGAAUCCAAGGGAAACCUAAAGUCUUUGGGUUCUGGGGGGAGUAUAGUCGCAAGGCCGAAACUUAAAGGAAUUGACGGAAAGGCACCACCAGGAGUGGAGUUUGCGGCUUAAUUCGACCCAACGCGGGAAAACUCACCAGGACAGGACAGAGGUAUGAUUGACAGGUUGAAAGUCUUUUCUUGAUUCUCUGGAUGGUGGUGCAUGGCCGUUCUUAGUUCGUGGAGUGAUUUGUCUUGUUAAUUCAGUUAACGAACGAGACCUUAACCUACUAACUAGGCUAUAGGCUAGCUUUACGGCUAGUCAGUUUCUAUGGAGUGGUUCGUAUGAGCCAUUUCUUGAAACCUAUAAUAUGGAACUUCACUUUCGGGUGUAGUUCCUGCUUCUUAGAGGGACAAUACUUCGUUUAUAUUAGAGUAAGGAAGUUUAAGGCAAUAACAGGUCUGUGAUGCCCUUAGAUGCCCUGGGCAGCACGCGUACUACACUGUUAAUACUAACAAGUCAGUACAAUGUGAAUACUUCGGUGUUCACUGGCCUUCUCCUUAAAGGAGUGGGAAAUCUUUUCAAACAUUAACGUGACAGGGAUAGCUGUUUGGAAUUCCAUCUUGAACGAGGAAUUCCUAGUAAUCGCGAUUCAUUAUAUCGCAUUGAUUACGUCCCUGCCUUUUGUACACACCGCCCGUCGCUCCUACCGAUGGAACAAAAAGGUGAAUUUGACGGACUUGAGCUUUGGCUUGGGGAAAUUAGCUGAACCUUUUUGUUUGUAGGAAGGAGAAGUCGUAACAAGGU